rnacentral:rRNA from 1 species
GGAGGAAAAGAAACCAACAGGGAUUGCCCUAGUAACGGCGAGUGAAGCGGCAACAGCUCAAAUUUGAAAUCUGGCGCAAGCCCGAGUUGUAAUUUGUAGAGGAUGCUUCUAGGUAGCGACCGGUUUAAGUUCCUUGGAACAGGACGUCAUAGAGGGUGAGAAUCCCGUAUGUGACCGGCCCGCACCUUCUACGUAGCUCCUUCGACGAGUCGAGUUGUUUGGGAAUGCAGCUCUAAAUGGGAGGUAAAUUUCUUCUAAAGCUAAAUACCGGCCAGAGACCGAUAGCGCACAAGUAGAGUGAUCGAAAGAUGAAAAGCACUUUGGAAAGAGAGUUAAAAAGCACGUGAAAUUGUUGAAAGGGAAGCGCUUACAACCAGACUUCUGGGCGGUGUUCCGCCGGUCUUUUGACCGGUCUACUCGCCGUCCCGAGGCCAACAUCAUCUGGGACCGCUGGAUAAGACCUUAGGAAUGUAGCUUCCCUCGGGAAGUGUUAUAGCCUCUGGUGAUGCAGCGCGUCUCGGGUGAGGUCCGCGCUUCGGCAAGGAUGUUGGCGUAAUGGUUGUCAGCGGCCCGUCUUGAAACACGGACCAAGGAGUCUAACAUCUAUGCGAGUGUUCGGGUGUCAAACCCCUACGCGUAAUGAAAGUGAACGGAGGUGGGAAGGGUAACCUGCACCAUCGACCGAUCCUGAUGUCCUCGGAUGGAUUUGAGUAAGAGCAUAGCUGUUGGGACCCGAAAGAUGGUGAACUAUGCCUGAAUAGGGUGAAGCCAGAGGAAACUCUGGUGGAGGCUCGCAGCGGUUCUGACGUGCAAAUCGAUCGUCAAAUUUGGGUAUAGGGGCGAAAGACUAAUCGAACCAU